CUUACACAUGCAGUCGAACGAUGAACCACCUUCGGGUGGGGAUUAGUGGCGAACGGGUGAGUAACACGUGGGCAAUCUGCCCUGCACUCUGGGACAAGCCCUGGAAACGGGGUCUAAUACCGGAUACUGACCUGCCAAGGCAUCUUGGCGGGUCGAAAGCUCCGGCGGUGCAGGAUGAGCCCGCGGCCUAUCAGCUUGUUGGUGAGGUAAUGGCUCACCAAGGCGACGACGGGUAGCCGGCCUGAGAGGGCGACCGGCCACACUGGGACUGAGACACGGCCCAGACUCCUACGGGAGGCAGCAGUGGGGAAUAUUGCACAAUGGGCGCAAGCCUGAUGCAGCGACGCCGCGUGAGGGAUGACGGCCUUCGGGUUGUAAACCUCUUUCAGCAGGGAAGAAGCGAAAGUGACGGUACCUGCAGAAGAAGCGCCGGCUAACUACGUGCCAGCAGCCGCGGUAAUACGUAGGGCGCAAGCGUUGUCCGGAAUUAUUGGGCGUAAAGAGCUCGUAGGCGGCUUGUCGCGUCGGUUGUGAAAGCCCGGGGCUUAACCCCGGGUCUGCAGUCGAUACGGGCAGGCUAGAGUUCGGUAGGGGAGAUCGGAAUUCCUGGUGUAGCGGUGAAAUUGCGUAGAA
rnacentral:rRNA from 1 species